rnacentral:misc_RNA from 1 species
UGAUUAUAAAUGGGAGGAGUAGAUGGAGAAAGGUUGGCAGUCGCCUCAUCACCUGAGCUAAAAUCAUUGCUAUGCCCGUCUGAUGAAUAUAUUGAAAGUCCAUCCAUCAAACGGUUGAAAGCAUGCGUCUUUCUAAUCUUCUUUGGGGUAGAAGACUCAUCGGAUUCAGACCCACCAAGGAAUGGAUCCCUAUUGUGCUUCAUCCUCAGUGUAAAUGUGAGGUCUGGGUCACCACGCUUCAAGCCUCCCAGCU